AUCUUUUAUUUGCAUAUUUGGUCUGUUUUUUUUAUAAACUGAUCAAAUUAAAUAUCCUUAUUUCUCUUUCUCUCUCCUUUCUCUCUCGUUCAUUUUUUUCUGCUCCGUUCAUCUCCAUUCUUCUUGCCAUUCCAUCCUCUUUGUCUCCUCCCGCUUUCUCUCCCUUCUCCUCCACCGGCCCCACGUCGGCGCUGCGCUUCUCUCUCCUACUUCGCUCACACCUCCGCCAAUGCCGGUA
rnacentral:lncRNA from 1 species